CCCUACGGGGUGCGAGCCCAGGAGUAGGUAUGGAAUGGAAAGGCGCUUGAAUGGGAGCGGGAAUCAUCAGCACUUGAGAGUAAAGUAAAUCACGCAAGGUCAAAAUAUCUGAAUGACCGCGCAUUGUCAAUAUACACGGGCUUCUCUUUGCCGGACGGUGCGCGCCGCCCCUGGAGGAAGCUCGGGUGCCUGAAAUGUAUAGUAAAACGGGCGGCGGCUGGGAAUCGGUCUAAUUCUGAUUCAUUUGUCGGAGACAAACUAUUGUUGUGUAAGAAAAAUGAUUACAGCCAAGCCGCCUGCGAACCCGGUGCGCUCCAUCCGCCGUUCGCGUUCCCGUAUGGACAGCUCGCCUAAUUUGCGAAUUGGCGGGGGGGC
rnacentral:rRNA from 1 species